UGGGGAAUAUUGCACAAUGGGGGAAACCCUGAUGCAGCGACGCCGCGUGGAGGAAGAAGGUCUUCGGAUUGUAAACUCCUGUCCCAGGGGACGAUAAUGACGGUACCCUGGGAGGAAGCACCGGCUAACUACGUGCCAGCAGCCGCGGUAAAACGUAGGGUGCAAGCGUUGUCCGGAAUUACUGGGUGUAAAGGGAGCGCAGGCGGAUUGGCAAGUUGGGAGUGAAAUCUAUGGGCUCAACCCAUAAAUUGCUUUCAAAACUGUCAGUCUUGAGUGGUGUAGAGGUAGGCGGAAUUCCCGGUGUAGCGGUGGAAUGCGUAGAUAUCGGGAGGAACACCAGUGGCGAAGGCGGCCUACUGGGCACUAACUGACGCUGAGGCUCGAAAGCAUGGGUAGCAAA
rnacentral:rRNA from 1 species